AAUAGAUACCCGGGUAGUCCACGCCGUAAACGAUGGAUACUAGCUGUUGGAGGUAUCGACCCCUCCAGUAGCGAAGCUAACGCGUUAAGUAUCCCGCCUGUGGAGUACGGUCGCAAGACUAAAACAUAAAGGAAUUGACGGGGACCCGCACAAGCGGUGGAUUGUGUUCUUUAAUUCGAUGAUAAACGAAGAACCUUACCAGGGUUUGACAUCCCAAGAAUUAUGCCGAAAGGCGUGAGUGCUUUAUUGAACUUGGUGACAGGUGAUGCAUGGCCGUCGUCAGCUCGUGUCGUGAGAUGUUUGGUUAAGUCCAUCAACGAGCGCAACCCUUGUGAAUAGUUGAAUUUUUCUAUUCAGACUGCCCCGGCAACGGGGAGGAAGGAGGGGAUGAUGUCAGGUCAGUAUUUCCCUUACAUCCUGGGCUAGAAACGCAAUACAAUGGUUAGUACAAUGCGCAGCGAAGCCGCGAGGUGAAGCAAAUCGCAUCAAAGCUAAUCCCAGUUCGGAUAAGAGGCUGAAACUGCCUCUUGAAGUCGG
rnacentral:rRNA from 1 species